UGGGGGAUAUUGCACAAUGGGCGAAAGCCUGAUGCAGCGACGCCGCGUGGGGGAUGAAGGCCUUCGGGUUGUAAACUUCUUUUGCUCUGAACAAGGCGCACCAUGGGGUGUGUUGAGUGUAGGGGUUGAUUAGCGCCGGCUAACUACGUGCCAGCAGCCGCGGUAAUACGUAGGGCGCGAGCGUUGUCCGGAAUUAUUGGGCGUAAAGGGCUUGUAGGUGGCUGGUUGCGUCUGUCGUGAAAGCUCAUGGCUUAACUGUGGGUUUGCGGUGUGUACAGGCUUGCUUGAGUGCAGUAGGGGAGGCUGGAAUUCCUGGUGUAUCGGUGGAAUGCGCAGAUAUCAGGAGGACUACCGGUGGCGAAGGCGGGUCUCUGGGCUGUUACUGACACUGAGGAGCGAAAGCAUGGGGAGCGAACAGG
rnacentral:rRNA from 1 species